rnacentral:rRNA from 1 species
AACGUAGGAGACAAACGUUAUCCGGAGUUACUGGGCGUAAAGGGCGUGUAGGUGGUUGCGUAAGUCUGGCGUGAAAUUUUUCGGCUUAACCGGGAAAGGUCGUCGGAUACUGCGUAGCUAGAGGACGGUAGAGGCGUGUGGAAUUCCGGGUGUAGUGGUGAAAUGCGUAGAGAUCCGGAGGAACACCAGUGGCGAAGGCGACUCGCUGGACAGACAUUGACGCUGAGGUGCGAAAGCGUGGGGAGCAAACAGG